rnacentral:rRNA from 1 species
AUUGAACGCUGGCGGCAGGCCUAACACAUGCAAGUCGAACGAGUGGCGGACGGGUGAGUAAUGUCUGGGAAACUGCCUGAUGGAGGGGGAUAACUACUGGAAACGGUAGCUAAUACCGCAUACCAUCGGAUGUGCCCAGAUGGGAUUAGCUAGUAGGUGGGGUAAAGGCUCACCUAGGCGACGAUCCCUAGCUGGUAUGAGAGGAGGACCAGCCACACGAGAACUGAGACCCGGUCCAGUCUCCUACGGGAGGCGGCAGUGGGGAAUGUUGCACAAUGGACGCGAGCCUGAUGCGGCCAUGCCGCGUGUAUGAAGAAGGCCUUCGGGUUGUAAAGUACUUUCCGCGGGGAGGCGUUACCCGCCGAAGAAGCACCGGCUAACUCCGUGCCAGCAGCCGCGGUAAUUC